rnacentral:sRNA from 1 species
UUCUUUUAGUUUCCGGUAUCUCUGCAAUGGCGGCUCUGGACUCCCUGUCGCUGUUCACUAGCCUCGGCCUGAGCGAGCAGAAGGCCCGCGAGACGCUCAAGAACUCGGCUCUGAGCGCGCAGCUGCGCGAGGCCGCUACUCAGGCUCAGCAGACCCUGGGUUCCACCAUUGACAAAGCUACCGGGACCCUGUUAUAUGGCUUGGCCUCCCGACUCAGGGAUACCCGGCGUCUCUCCUUCCUUGUAAGCUACAUAGCCAGUAAGAAGAUCCACACUGAGCCCCAGCUAAGCGGUGAGACCCCUGCCUGUCCUGCCGGUUCGCACCAAUGCCUCCCUUCAGCCGAGACCCCUGUCUUCCCUUUUUGCCAAGUCCUCCAGUUUCUUUCUAGACACCUAGUUCUGCACAGGCACUGAGGCACGGAAGGGGUGGCCUGUGGUGAGGCUGACAAGGGAACUGUCAGGGUCUGAGGGGGGAUCCACUCUCGACACGUGCUUUUUUCUUCCCUGUGUCCUCUAGGGUGGUGGUGCCAGGGCUUAACUUUUCAGGAGGCCAGACUAUCCUUGGAGUUUCAUGAGAUUAGGACCCUGCCUGUCCACUUCU